UUUUAGUCACCAGAUAUUCUCCCA
rnacentral:snRNA from 1 species